UGUGGGGUUGACAGUGCUGGGACACAUGUGGCCUGUGAUGAGGUACUGGGUACGUCUUGUUCCUGGGACUCCCAGGACCCAAUGACAAGUACAACACCAGUGCUGUAGCUGGGACAAAACUUCUGCCUCUUCCCCAGAGACUCGUUAAAAACGUCACAUGGAGGGAGAGGGAAAGGGGAACGAUGAAUUUCUCCAACCAUCCUGUCCCACUGGAAAGGCUGGCUCUGCUGUCCUGUCCUCCCUAAGCAUCUUGGGAACUGGAGUGACGGUUCGUGGCUGUUUUGAGCCUCGGCUCUGAGAUCAGAGCACAAACCAGUUCUUCCUCGCCUUUCAUCAUCGCUGUGCCAGGGCAGGAGUGAGGUCCGGCUCUGCUGCCACUACCUUACGUGGAGGCAAGAGCAGGGGAAGGUGCUUUGGCUUCUUCUCCAAGCAGAGCUCCUCCAGGUUUGCUCCCUUGUGCCUAGGGCAAGGCACUCCAUCAGGCACUGGAUGGGGCACGGCAGUCAAAUGGGCUGGCAUGGCUGGGAACCUCACCUGGGGGAGGAGUGGCUGCAGUGGAAAAGGCAAUUAUGGUUAAUUUGUUGUUAAUAAAAAACACCCUCUUCCAA